rnacentral:rRNA from 1 species
GACGAACGUUGGCGGCGUGCUUAAUACAUGCAAGUCAACUGAAGCAGUGGUAGCAAUAUUGCUGUGGAGGUGGCGCCCGGGGGAGUAACACGUAGGUAAUCUGCUUUCAGGUCUGGCAUAACUCCGGGAAACCGGGGCUAAUAGCAGCUGAUGCAGCGGCGCGACAUCGAGACAGUUGUUAAAGGUAUGGUGUCUGAAGAUGAGUCUGCGUCUGAUUAGCUAGUUGGCGGGGUAACGGCCCAACAAGGCAACGAUCAGUAGAUGGUCUGAGGGGAUGAGCAGCAACACUGAAACUGAGACACGGUCCAGACUACGACGGGAGGCAGAAGCAAGGAAAAUUGCUCAAUGGGAGAAAGCCUGAAGCAGCGACGCCGCGUGAGGGACGAAGGGCUUUAGUUUGUAAAACUCGGUAGUGAGAGAAAAAAAUCCCAAUCUUUAGGACAUGAUGGUAUCUCAAAAGUAAGCCCCGGCUAACUACGUG